rnacentral:rRNA from 1 species
UUAAGCGACUAAGCGUACACGGUGGAUGCCCUGGCAGUCAGAGGCGAUGAAGGACGUGCUAAUCUGCGAAAAGCGUCGGUAAGGUGAUAUGAACCGUUAUAACCGGCGAUGUCCGAAUGGGGAAACCCAGUGCAAUUCGUUGCACUAUCGUUAACUGAAUACAUAGGUUAACGAGGCGAACCGGGGGAACUGAAACAUCUAAGUACCCCGAGGAAAAGAAAUCAACCGAGAUUCCCCCAGUAGCGGCGAGCGAACGGGGAGCAGCCCAGAGUCUGAAUCAGCUUGUGUGUUAGUGGAACGGUCUGGAAAGUCCGACGGUACAGGGUGAUAGUCCCGUACACCAAAAUGCACAGGCUGUGAACUCGAAGAGUAGGGCGGGACACGUGGUAUCCUGUCUGAAUAUGGGGGGACCAUCCUCCAAGGCUAAAUACUCCUGACUGACCGAUAGUGAACCAGUACCGUGAGGGAAAGGCGAAAAGAACCCCGGCGAGGGGAGUGAAAAAGAACCUGAAACCGUGUACGUACAAGCAGUGGGAGCACCUUCGGGUGUGACUGCGUACCUUUUGUAUAAUGGGUCAGCGACUUAUAUUCUGUAGCAAGGUUAACCGUAUAGGGGAGCCGCAGGGAAACCGAGUCUUAACUGGGCGUUAAGUUGCAGGGUAUAGACCCGAAACCCGGUGAUCUAGCCAUGGGCAGGUUGAAGGUUGGGUAACACUAACUGGAGGACCGAACCGACUAAUGUUGAAAAAUUAGCGGAUGACUUGUGGCUGGGGGUGAAAGGCCAAUCAAACCGGGAGAUAGCUGGUUCUCCCCGAAAGCUAUUUAGGUAGCGCCUCGUGAACUCAUCUUCGGGGGUAGAGCACUGUUUCGGCUAGGGGGUCAUCCCGACUUACCAACCCGAUGCAAACUACGAAUACCGAAGAAUGUUAUCACGGGAGACACACGGCGGGUGCUAACGUCCGUCGUGAAGAGGGAAACAACCCAGACCGCCAGCUAAGGUCCCAAAGUCAUGGUUAAGUGGGAAACGAUGUGGGAAGGCACAGACAGCCAGGAUGUUGGCUUAGAAGCAGCCAUCAUUUAAAGAAAGCGUAAUAGCUCACUGGUCGAGUCGGCCUGCGCGGAAGAUGUAACGGGGCUAAACCAUGCACCGAAGCUGCGGCAGCGACACUAUGUGUUGUUGGGUAGGGGAGCGUUCUGUAAGCCUGCGAAGGUGACCUGUGAGGGUUGCUGGAGGUAUCAGAAGUGCGAAUGCUGACAUAAGUAACGAUAAAGCGGGUGAAAAGCCCGCUCGCCGGAAGACCAAGGGUUCCUGUCCAACGUUAAUCGGGGCAGGGUGAGUCGACCCCUAAGGCGAGGCCGAAAGGCGUAGUCGAUGGGAAACAGGUUAAUAUUCCUGUACUUGGUGUUACUGCGAAGGGGGGACGGAGAAGGCUAUGUUAGCCGGGCGACGGUUGUCCCGGUUUAAGCAUGUAGGCUGGUUAUCCAGGCAAAUCCGGAUAAUCAAGGCUGAGGUGUGAUGACGAGGCACUACGGUGCUGAAGUAACAAAUGCCCUGCUUCCAGGAAAAGCCUCUAAGCAUCAGGUAACAUCAAAUCGUACCCCAAACCGACACAGGUGGUCAGGUAGAGAAUACCAAGGCGCUUGAGAGAACUCGGGUGAAGGAACUAGGCAAAAUGGUGCCGUAACUUCGGGAGAAGGCACGCUGGUGUGUAGGUGAAGCCCCUGCGGGUGGAGCUGAGACCAGUCGAAGAUACCAGCUGGCUGCAACUGUUUAUUAAAAACACAGCACUGUGCAAACACGAAAGUGGACGUAUACGGUGUGACGCCUGCCCGGUGCCGGAAGGUUAAUUGAUGGGGUUAUCCGUAAGGAGAAGCUCUUGAUCGAAGCCCCGGUAAACGGCGGCCGUAACUAUAACGGUCCUAAGGUAGCGAAAUUCCUUGUCGGGUAAGUUCCGACCUGCACGAAUGGCGUAAUGAUGGCCAGGCUGUCUCCACCCGAGACUCAGUGAAAUUGAACUCGCUGUGAAGAUGCAGUGUACCCGCGGCAAGACGGAAAGACCCCGUGAACCUUUACUAUAGCUUGACACUGAACAUUGAGCCUUGAUGUGUAGGAUAGGUGGGAGGCUUUGAAGCGUGGACGCCAGUCUGCGUGGAGCCAACCUUGAAAUACCACCCUUUAAUGUUUGAUGUUCUAACGUUGGCCCCUUACCGGGGUUGCGGACAGUGUCUGGUGGGUAGUUUGACUGGGGCGGUCUCCUCCCAAAGCGUAACGGAGGAGCACGAAGGUUAGCUAAUCCUGGUCGGACAUCAGGAGGUUAGUGCAAUGGCAUAAGCUAGCUUGACUGCGAGCGUGACGGCGCGAGCAGGUGCGAAAGCAGGUCAUAGUGAUCCGGUGGUUCUGAAUGGAAGGGCCAUCGCUCAACGGAUAAAAGGUACUCCGGGGAUAACAGGCUGAUACCGCCCAAGAGUUCAUAUCGACGGCGGUGUUUGGCACCUCGAUGUCGGCUCAUCACAUCCUGGGGCUGAAGUAGGUCCCAAGGGUAUGGCUGUUCGCCAUUUAAAGUGGUACGCGAGCUGGGUUUAGAACGUCGUGAGACAGUUCGGUCCCUAUCUGCCGUGGGCGCUGGAGAAUUGAGGGGGGCUGCUCCUAGUACGAGAGGACCGGAGUGGACGCAUCACUGGUGUUCGGGUUGUCAUGCCAAUGGCACUGCCCGGUAGCUAAAUGCGGAAGAGAUAAGUGCUGAAAGCAUCUAAGCACGAAACUUGCCCCGAGAUGAGUUCUCCCUGAGACUUUAAGUCUCCUGAAGGAACGUUAAAGACGAUGACGUUGAUAGGCCGGGUGUGUAAGCGCAGCGAUGCGUUGAGCUAACCGGUACUAAUGAACCGUGAGGCUUAACCUU